CCUGAGAAACCCAAAAGAUCGAAUGGGGAGAUUCAUCGUCAGCGAUUCUGGUACGUGUGCGGUUCGCGAUGCCGGAGACUUCGGUCUCAUUGCACGCGUCCGCAUGUUUUUUAUUGCCGGGAUCGUCGGCGUGCACUUCUCCCCUAGUAGGACGUCGCGACCCGUUGGGUGUCGGUCUACGGCCCGGGUGGUAGCCUGUCACGUGUGCGCUUCACGGCGUUACGCGGGGCAGACCCCCGGUUGCCUGACCGGCUGCCCGGCGGUACUCGCACGGUAUCUGGCCGCAAAUAUUCGAACUGCGUCCGGCCCGUCGCAAGCGAGGCAAGUGUUUCCCGGCUGUACGGAUCUAAUGCCGUCACCGGGCCUUGCCAGCUGUUGGUUGACGGUGUCCUAGGACUGGCUAAUAAAAUUAUGAUACCGGUCGGCGACGCUACUGCUUUGG
rnacentral:rRNA from 1 species